rnacentral:lncRNA from 1 species
AUCAUCAUAUACAUGUGACAUACAGGCCUAAUAGGCCAACAUAAUCAUUUAUAAACUCAAAACAUAGGUUGACAAGGCCGUACAAUCUUUUACAUACACGACAUACGUCUACAAGCCUCUAAGAGUACAUAAAUGUCAUAAAGGUCGGGAUAAAGUCCUGCUAUACCAAACAAUACACGUCUAAAUCAUACUAACCAAACAAGCAACUCUGAAGCAAAUGGAGCGCACCAACAUCUUCCGCUGAGCUGAUAGCCUACCUGGAGGGCUCUCGACCUAUCUAUCGGGACCUGUGGGGAUGAAACGCAGUGUCCCCAGGAAAAGGGAUGUUAGUAUGAAAAAUGUACCGAGUAUGUAAGGCACAUAAAUAAGUACAUAACAAACAUGGAAGAAAUAUAGAAUAAUCGACUCAACUUGUAAGUCUGGAUAACUUUGUAAAUCAUAAAUUACUUUUAGCAUCAUGUAUAUGCGUAUGAAUGUCAUGUCAUGCAUAGGUAUAUGUUUCAUAACAUCAUCAGCCUCUAAGGUCAUCCCAUCAUAUCAUAUCGACCACUGUGGGCCAAAUCAUCAUCGUAUACCAAAUGAUCAGGUGGUGGUACGUAUAUAACUCCAUAACCUUUCCUAUAUCCCAUAUACAUAUAUAUACAUACAUAUAUACACUUAUAUAACGCCAUCUGUUCAUGGGUCAAUGUACAUUAAUGCAAUGGAUGAAAAGCGCAUUAAUAAAAUCUUUCGGAAUGUCAUAGGACCAUUUUGCCUUUGAGUAAUAUCAUAAAGUAAACUCUUUCCAACUUUCGUAUUUUUCUGAGACCCAUGAGCAGAUGAUAAUAUAUUAUGACACAUGGAAAUUCAAGAACAUAGAUAUCUCUAAUACUUCUAUGAAUAGAGUUAUUCAUGGAAUUUGCGCAUUUGCAUGUUUCGUUCAUAUUGUAUGGAUCAUGCCAAAAGAAAGAAGGGAUAGCCUUAAUAUACCUGGAAUAGGAAAAAAUACGUAUGAUAUUCUUGGAAAAAGGUUGCACUGUAUUCCCUUAGAAUAACAAAAUCUCACGUUACUAGUGUGCUAAGAAAUCUCGUGGGAUUUUGGUUGAAGAAUGAAAAUCUUCAUUGCCGCAACGAACUUAAUUUUCUAAAGAUUAAUUUGAAAUUGGUAAACAUUGAGUGAUUGUUGGCGGCUAAGAGUGACAGAGAGGGGUAAUCCCACAAACAACUUUCCACAACUCUCUAAAUCCAACAACCUCAAACUUAAACUAAGUUUGAGGUAAAGUGAUUGUUGUCAUUUUUUGGUUCUGAAAAUAUUAGAAGUGAAGAUUGUUGAACUAACAUAGUUUGCCACAUAGCCAAAAAUGACUACGAGUCAUUUUGGUUAAAACUUAGCUUGUCGCCACGUUGAAGGUAAGGUUUCUUGUACUUAUCUAAUUGUUUUACUUAAUUAAUAAUUUAUUAAUCUGCCACUAACCAAUAAUUAAUCAAUUGUCCAUGUAAUUAAAAAUUAUCCCAAAUUACUUAAAAUACUACUCAUUUUUAAUAUACCCUUAUACAUCAUACUAUUAUGAUCAUAUGGUACCUUAUAUGGUACUAGUCCAUAAAUACGGGAUAUUAACGCUCAGCCCGUAUUUUAUCCCAACAUGCCAAACUUGGACGAAAAUUAUUUCUUUGACUUUCUUCCCCUCUCACUUUCACGAAUUUACUCAUCACUUGUUUGAAAUAGCAUAAACCUUAUAAUCUCCAAAUAAUCUUUUCCUUGGACUGACGUCAAUUACCUUAUGACAAAUUCAACGUACAAUACUAUAGGGUGCAACAUCAUCGUAAUUUAAUACUUCAGGACGUAACAUCGACGAAAUAUUAUGGGGCGUAACAUCAUUCCCCUCUUUGGAAUAUUCGUCCUUAAAUGUUGACUGAUGCUCUUAUCAUUUUUAUAACUUAUAGCUCUUUUGAAUACCUUAAUACUCUCUUUGUCACUUAGGUAAUUGUUCUGUGAAUAAAUCCAAAGGCUAGGACAUUCCCCCUUUUAGGCCUCUUUCUCAUACCACGACUUAUGGUGAGGAUCUUUCCAAUCUCGUAGCUGUUGCUACCUUUUAUCAUGCAGUCUGUACGACUUUGAUCUUAUAAGUGCGCCUGUGCGAUUCUUCUCCUGUUUUUCCUCUAACUUUUGGCCAAUCUCUAGGCCUCACUUCGCAAAUAUAUACAAAGCUUGAUGAAGUGUCCCUAUGGGCAUUUGUAGGUAUACUAAAGUUUUUCUCUCGGUAUUUUGUUAAAAUUGCGAUUAUUGCUACAUCUUAUUUCAUAGAACCGGUUAUCUAACCGCGUAAUUUUUUCUGCAUCUAGGUAGAUAAUACUAUACCAUAACUCUUACUUCGAUUUAUCGUUGCUGAGAUCUGCUAUCAAAUUCCCGCUUACUCUUGUUGCUUAUCCAAUAUGUAUAAAUCAAAGUCUUUUAAUGCUUCCUCAUUACUAUUCAUUUUAAGAAUGAUGGCCUAAUCUUAUGUCAUACUUUGUAACUUGUAUUAGUCCAUUGUUGAUUGACCUUAAUUUUGAUCUAUAAUUUACUACUUGAUGACUUGAAUUCUUAUGUAAUACAUUGUUUCUAGGGCCCACGUCUUAUCGGGGACAUCUAGAGUAAUUAGAUUGAUCCACCUAGGGGUGAUACUAUAUUUCCAUAACUGUACUUAAUAGCAUCACAAUGUGACUCACCUUAUAUGGGUAUUUUAUUCCCUUACAAUUCGUGAAAUCCUCUUCAAGUCAUUAUUCAAUCAAAGUCCCAAAUGUCAUUCUUUAUUAUCCAUCAUAAUUACACCCUCAUUCUACUACCAGAGCAGCAUUCCAUUUAUUUUAAAUGCCAUUAGUCUUAGACUCCUUUGGGUUCAUUCAGGCUAUACUGAGCUUUGUAUAACUUAGAGAAACCAUCAUCACUGCUUGUUUUCAUGGGCUUAAUCGUGAGGACUUAUCCAUUCUCGUCACCUUCUUACUCGCCCUUUCUUAUCCUUAUUCCCGACUUUCUAAAACCUUAUCGCUUUACCAUACUUUAAUUUUCCACUUACACAUAUCCAUUUAUACUACUCACAAUCUCCCUUCAACUUGCUUGCACCAUAGACUUCCUUACGUUAUUUCUGAAACAUCGAGCGAGACAUCGCAUUGUCUCAAACUCUUUUUUUACUCUUGUAAUUUAGACCUUUUGGUACUUAGAAACCAUAGGUUGAAAGGUAUGCUACUGACGACGCUGCUAUCGUUCCUGUAUACUGAAUCCCCGCGCUUCUAGCCUCUUAUCCGCAAUAUGGACUAUUCAUAACCUUAUGUAUUUGAUUAUCUUGUAUGUUGUUCACCUUUUCCUUAAUUAACUUAAAAUAUUGCCUCACAUUCUUCUAUUUCUUCCAUAACCUUCCUUCCACAUAGGUAUAAUUUACCUCCAUAACCUGAAGCUCUAUUGUAAUACUUGCACCUCUGGUACAUACAUAAUCCGGUGGGAAGUUCGUAAUGGCUUCUUAUGAGUCUAGUACUUCUUCUAACUGGCUUCCUUGUAGAGCCAUUAUAGAUUAUGGUUGUUGUAUUAUUUUUCUUGAACAUCUGAUAUUAAGAGUGAUUCUGUCAUGUUCUAAAGCAUAAGUUCUAUAGUCCAAUAAUCAGACUCUCGAUUUACUUGGGUGUUGUAAUUCUUUAGUUUCUUCUUCCUUUUGAUCAGCCUUUACGUAGGCUUAAGCUAUCUUCUGAUCUGUGGCUCAUGGUAUCAGUUAUUACCUUAGCCUUUCAUGGGCAUUAUGGAAUAUCCAUGACACGAUCUUCUAACAAUUCAAUCAUUUGUCUAUGUCCUAGACUCAAUUCUUUAUUUUAACUUAUACCGGAGUCCUCUGUGGAUAUGUGAUUGUCAACAAAUAUGCUGCCUGGAUAAUGCUCCAAAAUCUUGAGUGCAUUCAUAACACAACUAACUCUAGAUCAUUGAUCGAAUAAUUCCUUCCGUUACUUCUCAGCUUUCUUUAAAUGUAAGCAAUUACUUUCUUUGGUCGUUCUGCCACUUGUUGCAUGAAUAUUUGGCUUAUCUUAGUGCCCGCAUAUUUUGAAAUUCCAUACAACCCAUAUGAUCUUGAAUAUUACUUUUAAUUCUUACUUCCCGUUCAUUAGCCACGGUAGGUGCCAUUUUCCUUUGGAAUGCUUACAAUGUUGUUGCGAGAUUGUUGCUACACGACCAUUUCCUCUUUAGGUCGUUGUGCUUAGGUUGAAGCCUUCUUUCUUAUCUCCUCAGCUAGUCUUUCAUUGUAGUACUUAGGGAGAACCCUUGACUCUCGUAAAACUGUGAGCUUAUUAUGGACCUUUUUGAUGUCCUUACUUGCCUAUAAUCAUCCGUAGUUGCUUACUUCCAUGCCCUUAUGCUUGUAUGGUUGCUUCUGAACUGAUAUUUUGACUGCCUUCCCAGUGGCACUUUCUUUUAUCCCCGUAACACUUAUACGGUACCUUUAACUACCCCGACUCUUGUUUCAAUAUAUCUCAAGUAUUAUAAUGAUAUUCUUCGAGGUUGAAUUCUCCAUGUUGGGUUCUACUAUGUUUAUCUUACAUGAUCUGAUGACUCGUCUGUAACCUCCUAUUUAGCCAUAACUGGGAUCUUCCUGACCAAUUACUAACUACUCGUUGGCCCAUUCAUAUAUCAAUAUUACUCGUAAUCUUUCUUUGUUUAUUUCCUUUGUCUUAACUUACGUCUCGCAUUGGUUCCUUAUUUAUUAAUAACAACAUGGGCAGGAACCUUUACUUCCUCUCCUUUACGUCGUGCUUUCACAACAUUUUUGAAUCGUAGCGUAUCUGUAAGAUUUGGAUAAGUGCCAUCUCAUUCCUCUUUCAUUUAUUGCAUUCUUCCUUUACCAUUCCAUAGUCACUAGAACCACUUAAUUCUGACUUAAUGUCACAUCACUCCAUAUUCCCCCUUUUAGGGGUGUACUAAGAGCUGAAGCCACGAGGAUCUUCAUAUAGAUUUUUUACCUCUUCAUCUUUGGCAUUGUUUUUCAACGUCAAUGAUCCUUACUCGCCUUGCGACAAUCCUUCUGUACUAAGGAUGACAAAUUCCCUUACUCGCGAGGUUGUCACUUAAUGUAACUGGUACAUACAGUCUCAUAAGCUUAACUUUGCUAACAUUGCUUGCUUUUAGGGAGGCGUCUUCCUGAAUGACCAUUCUCUGAAGUUUUCACGAAUCUUCUUCUAUUGCCCAUCCUAUUAUUGCCGGAACGCGAUAUGAAAUUCUCAUGAUACUGACUAUUAUCAAAUCACUCAAUCCCUAAUUCAUAUUUAGUUUAUCUUGUUCACCAGUCCAUAUUAAUUUCUAUUAAUCUGGGAUUUAACUUUUUUUCUCUUGUUAAUCGCGCUAGAGUUGCGAACUAAUUUCUUGAAAUGAGAAUCUGACUUUAAGGCCUAUAUUCUUUUAUUGUCUCAUGGCAUGUCAUCUUUUGUAUUUUCCUUCACUUGACUGUAAACUCUGUAAUAGUGUCAUCAUUUUUUUGACCUACCGUUAUCAUUCGUGUAUCACAUCUUACUCAUAAUGCUUCAUUAAAUCUCUUCUUAUCUCCCGCUAAUUAUCUAUUUCUACCACUUUACUCUAAAAACUCGAACAAAAUAUUCUUUUGCUUUUGGCUCCCCUUGCUUCAUCCCUUGGCUCUUUCAAUUGCCUAACAUUCUUUCUUUACUGCGGGCGGGAGAUACACUAAAGUAAUAUUUAUUGCUUCAAGGCUUCCAGUGCUCAUAUCUAGUUUUAAUAUUUUAGGGUGCACCAUCUAGGUGUCUCACAAGGAGAUCUAUUAGCACACUUGUUGUGACGACCCGGCCAGUCGUCUCAUGAAUUUCUGCUCCGUUUCCCCCAUUUCUGCUUCUUAUUACUUUGUUUAUCGGUUCUAUGUGUGAUCGGGUUGGUAGCUCGGGUUCGGAAAGGUUUUGGUAAGGUUUGAGACACUUAGUCUCUUUUGAGGGAGCUUAAGUUAGAAAAGUCAACCGGAUGUUGACUUAUUUGUUAAAGGGCUCGGAUGUGAGUUCUGAUGAUUCGGAUAGCUUCGGCAGGUGAUUUGGGACUUAGGAGCAUGAUCGGAAUGUGUUGAAAUUCCGAAGUAGAUUUAGGCUUGAAUUGGCGAAAUUGGAAUUUUGGCGUUUUCUGAUUGAUAAGUGAGAUUUUGAUAUAGGUCGGAAUAGAAUUCCGGAAGUUGCAGUAGCUCCGUUGUGUCAUUUGGAAUGUGUGUGCAAAAUUUCAGGUCAUUCGGACAUGGUUUGGUAGACUUUUGUUCAAAAGCGUAAUUCGGAAGAUUUUGGGAACCUUAGGCUUGAAUCCAAUGUGUUUUGGUUGAUACGAUGUUGUUUGACAUGUUUUGAAGAUUGGUAUAAGUUUGGAUAGUGGUAUAGGACUUGUUGGUGCUUUUGGUUGAGGUCCCGAGGGCCUUGGGAUGAUUUCGGAUGGUUGGCGGAAAGUUUGGAAUUUGAAAAUUGCAGCUAAAGUUUUUAGGACUGCUGUCAUAAUUGCAACUGCGGUUGGGAGGCUGCAGGUGCGACCUCCGCAGAUGCGGAGGACCAGUCACAGAAGCAGAAAGAGCCUAGGAAGGCAGGAACCGCAGAAGCAGUUGAGGAACCGCACCUGCGAUGGUGCGGGUACGGAUUAGGCAUCACAGAUGCGGAGAUUGAGGAUUUAAGUGAGUACCACAAAUGCGGUGUAUGGACCGCAAAAGCGGUAUCUGGACCGCAAGUGUGAAAAGCUUGGUCCAGAAGGUAUAAAAGCACCCCUUCAUGAUGUUUGAGUUGUUCUUCACAAUUUCAAGUCGAUGUUGGAGCUUUUUGGGAGAUUUUGAAGAGGGAAUCAAGGGAUAUCGUCUGGAGAUAAGAUUUUUGAGUCUAAUAAUCGAUCCUAUGGAAUUAUUUCACUGAUUUAGCCUAAGAUUAAUGGAAAUUAAGGGUUAAAAUUUGGGAAACUAGGUCUUGGUAUUGGAGAUCUUGGCUCGAGGAUUUGAGGGGCCAUUUGUGGUUGGAUUUUCGGACUUUUGAUAUGUAUGAACUCGUGGGAAGAUAAGGAAUCUAUUGAUGUAAAUUUUAUCUAAUUCCGAGACGUGGGCCCGGGGGUCGCGUUUUGGUUAAUUUCGGGAUUUAUGUUGUAAAUUGAUUAUUUUUGCAUGGGCUUCGUUUCCUUAGCAUAUUUUGACGUUGUGAUUCUGAUUUUGGAUAAAUUCAAUGCGAGUUGAGGCCGAUUCGAGGGGCAAAGGCGUCGCGGGCUGGAGUUUUGACUGGAUUGAGGUGAGUAAUGAUUUUAAAUGUUGUCAUGAGGGUAUGAAACCCCAGAUUACACAUCGUUGUGCUAUAAUGAGGUGACACACGUGCUAGAUGACGAGCAUGGGGUCGUACACCGUUGGAGAUUGUGACUUAGUCCGUCCCGAAUGACUGUUUUACCGCGUAUUUGAUUGAAAAUUGUUUGCUAUUAUCAUGUUUUGGGCGAAAUGCCAUAUUUGGGCCUUGUGCCAACUAUUUGGGCCCUUAGGGGAUUUUUACUGAUAUUUUCUCACUGUUUUGACUUUAUACUUGUACUCAGCCAUGUUUACUCUAUUUUAAUACAUUAAAUGAUAUUUUAAAUGAUAAUUUAGGCUGAGCAUCAUGUUUUAUUGUUGCCCAAGUGGCUUAUGAUAUUCUGACUGAGUAAGGCCGGGGGCCUGUGUUGCGAGGAUACACUGAUUUAUGAUUAUGAGGCUGAGGGCCUGCGUUGUACGCCACGAGGUGGCUUGAUAUGAGACUGAGAGCCUAUUGAUUAUACCACGAGAUGGCUUGAUAUCGCGCUGGGCCGUAAGGGGUCCCUCCCGGAGUCUGCACACCCCCAGUGAGCGCGAGUACCCAUUAUGAUAUGCGUAUAUAACACCAUCUGGUCACGGGUCAAUGUACAUGAAUGCAAUGCAUGAAAAGUACGUUAAUAAAAUCUUUCGGAAUGUCGUAAGACCAUUUUGACUUUGAGUAAUAUCAUAAAGUAAACUCUUUUCAAUUUUUGUAUUUUUUUGAGACCCAUGAACAGAUGAUAAUAUAUUAUGACACAUAGAAAUUCAAGAACAUAGAUAUCUCUAAUACUUCUAUGAAUAGAGUUUGUCACACCUCUUUUUUACACACCCGAAAGUAUAGAUAGGGAGUUUUCCCAAUUUAAGUGACAUUAUUCGAAAUGAGACUAUUUAAUUUAUUUCAGAUUCGCCACUUGGGAUAUUUAUUAUGGUGUCCCAAGUCACCGGUUUAUUUUAAGUCCCAAAUCGAGGAAAUUCAACUUUCCUUUGGAAGUCUGCGAACCAGAAAUUCUAAGUAAGGAAUUCUGUUAACCCGGGAGAAGGUGUUAGGCAUUCUCGGGUUCCGUGGUUCUAGCACGGUCGCUUAAACUAUUAUAAUUGGCCUAUUAUCUGAUUACAAUACAUGUUUUAGCCUAUGGUUCAAUUUCCUUAUUAACCGCUUUUAAUAAUUAUUGUUACAUAUUGUAAUCAUGUCACGGGAACCGUACCCACGAUCUGCAAUAUAUUUAGUUUUUAAAGAUUAAAUUGUGGUCGGGUCACAUAAAUGCACCCCGAGUUUUAGUAAUUAGGCGUCACAACUACGUCACGGGAACCGUACCCGUAGCUAUGACAAUUAAUCAAUUAACGUGCUUAAAGCAACUAAGAAAUUUCAGGCAAUUUCUAUACUAAUUUUUAUUUAUAUGAGGGCCAUAAAUUAUAGGAUUUUAUUUGUAUAUGGCACACCCCAAUUUAUUUGAUCUAAAUUUGUGAGGGCCAAGUAUUAUAGAUUUAAAGCAUGGCACACCUCAAGUUAUUCUUUAAAAAAAAAUUUAUAUUUUAAAGGCAAACUAAAGGUGCUCUCGUUUUUUACUAAUUUAAAAACUAGCUAUCACAACCACGUCACGGGAACCGUACCCGUAGUCGUAAAAUUUUUAAAAUCGCGCCUAAAACAAGCCACGAGUAUAAUGAUGCUAAACAACAAAGGUAAUGAACUAACAAUAUUGUUGCGAGACAGUUUGUUAACCUUUUCAUAGCAGAAACUCAAACUCCUACAAUAAGCAUGUUAUCAGAUACCUAUUUGAAGUGAAACAACGUUCUUUUGUAGAGAAAGUUAACAAUUAAUUGUAGUGGAAAUUGUAAUGUUUCAAAAUAAUGAUAAUAUCCCAACUCCCAUGCAUCAAAUCCAAGUGCUAAUGGAUAAGUAAUUUCUUACAAAGGUAAAGGACGGGUACAUUAUACCUAUAUGUCUAAAGAUCAACAGAUUUCCAAUGUCAAAUUUACCACUCACGUAUGCUAAUUUUACCUAAGAGCCGCAGGUCUCUUAAUUUGAGUUUACCAACAAAGACCAACUCUUGAGCCAACAACAACAAAGUUUAUAUAAACACACAUAGGCCAUUUAAUGAACUAAGUGACUAAGUAAUUAGAAAAGUCACAUAAUAUUAAGCUAAAUGAAAACAAGGGAAAUGAAUUUCUUAUCACUUCAAUUCAAUACAUGUCAAAUGAUGAGUAUAAAACAGUAAGCACCUAAAGUUAAUUUAAAAUAAAACUUUGAUUCAUGAGCUUCAAUUAAGUGACAACAAACUUAACGCCUCAAUCAUACUUCACUUUUGAUAAACGAGAAGGAACCAGUAAUUGAAAAUUGUAAAUGAGGAUAUUAAGUAAGAACACCAAGGUUUGUAUUUCAGUUACCCAUUUUCACAAUCAAAUUCACAAAACUUAACUUAUAGGCGAUCAAAGUCAGAGUUGAUUCGAAGAGCUCCAAACACAUUUUAAGACACACAGUUAAAUUAUGGACACUAACAGAUCUUUUUCGAUAACAAAUUAGGACAACUUCAAGCAAUAAAUCAGUCGUAAUUAAAGCAAGAAAAUUAAUCAAAUAAGUUAUAUAGUCAUGUUUAAAACUCAAAGCAGUCAAAUACCAAGUCAGUGAUCCCAAAAUCAAAUUAGAUUUGCAACCCAAUGUGUCUGAACCAAACAAAUCCAGAAUCGUAAAUGUUCAAUCUUAGAAGUAAAACCAACACACUUAGCGGGAAGAGAUGCAAACUGAAUAAACUUAAACGGAUAUCAAGAACGAACCUGUUAAGUAUGCUUUCUUUAUAGCAAUUAUAGAAUCGACAAAUACACUGUUUUCUUGACUCCAAAAUUCCAACGAGAUUCAACAACUGUAUCCAGUAGAAUUUGCAAGCCAAAUCGAAAUUUUGAAAGACCACUUUGGACAGAAUCAACAGAGUGCAAAAAAUUCAAAACUCCAUCCCCAAUAUUCAACUUGAGGAUUUAAACCAAACUUCCUUUCUAAAAAAAAAGAACAGAAAUCAAGAGAAAAGAAAACAAGGCUAGAAGAAAUAUGUUUCAGCAAUCUUUUUUUUUUUUGAUUUUUUCUCUUAAAAACCAAAACAAAUCUAGAAUGAAAACUAAAUUCAAGCCAUAUAAGACUUACCUCAUAUAUAUAGACUUCAAAAACUUCAAAAAAUCUGCCCAAAAUCCGAAAAUCCCUCGAGUUGUUUUGAACAAUUUUGGAACAAAUAGAGGGCGUGGAUUGAUUCACAUCUAUCCACGGCUCCCAUUCAUCCAACAAUUGUCGUCUUUAUACAUAAAUCCACGAUUUUGAGUGAAUAUUCGUACUCCUCUCUGACAAAUCCAUUGGGAAAUAGAGGUGACAUGGAGAGGAGGGGACCAAUGAGUGAACUCGGGUGAUCUUCAGGCGAGUUGGGUUGGGCUCAGUGAAGAAGAUGAAUAGUAGCGCCGUUUCUCUGAUUUCUAUAGGGU